UACGAAGGGGGGCUAGCGUUGCUCGGAAUUACUGGGCGUAAAGCGCACGUAGGCGGCUUUCUAAGUCGGGGGUGAAAUCCUGGAGCUCAACUCCAGAACUGCCUUCGAUACUGGAGACCUUGAGUCCGGGAGAGGUGAGUGGAAUUGCGAGUGUAGAGGUGAAAUUCGUAGAUAUUCGCAAGAACACCAGUGGCGAAAGGCGGCUCACUGGCCCGGAACUGACGCUGAGAUGCGAAAGCGUGGGGAGCAAAACAGG
rnacentral:rRNA from 1 species